AGUGAACGCUGGCGGUAGGCCUAACACAUGCAAGUCGAACGGCAGCACAGUAAGAGCUUGCUCUUACGGGUGGCGAGUGGCGGACGGGUGAGGAAUACAUCGGAAUCUACUUUUUCGUGGGGGAUAACGUAGGGAAACUUACGCUAAUACCGCAUACGACCUACGGGUGAAAGCAGGGGAUCUUCGGACCUUGCGCGAUUGAAUGAGCCGAUGUCGGAUUAGCUAGUUGGCGGGGUAAAUGCCCACCAAGGCGACGAUCCGUAGCUUGUCGGAGAGGAUGAUCAGCCACACUGGAACUGAGCCACGGUCCAGACUCCUACGGGAGGCAGCAGUGGGGAAUAUUGGACAAUGGGCGCAAGCCUGAUACAGCCAUACCGCGUGGGUGAAGAAGGCCUUCGGGUUGUAAAGCCCUUUUGUUGGGAAAGAAAAGCAGCAGGUUAAUACCCCGCUGUUCUGACGGUACCCAAAGAAUAAGCACCGGCUAACUUCGUG
rnacentral:rRNA from 1 species